AUUAGAACUGGUUUGCACAUGUCGACAACUUUAAAUGAAAUAUACAUGUAAGGUGUGAAACGCACAAUACUUUUGAAUCGCUUUUGUUUCUAAAAUGCAAUCUUUUGAAAGAAAAGCUCAGUCAUCUGAGCUGCAGUGUUGCAGCACUGAAAAGCAUUGGGUGCCCAUCAUAGAGUGUUUCUCUUUGCCUGCAAUCAGGAUACAUCAACUGACCUUUGAACUGUGUUUUCCAACUUGGGAUUCAAACACAUGCCCUCUUGGGUAGGAGAAAGUCAGACAAACACCUGUGGCUAUAUCACUAUACUUCUUCAAGUCUUGCUCUAUGAGUGAUCAUGAUGUGAAAUAAAACAAAAUGCAGUCAUUUUUUUGUUAUAUUAAAUAAGUUAUGAACAAAUAAAAUAUUUCAAACAUUU